ACUCCACCGUGUUUAAGGCAUGACUCCACCGUGUUUAAGGCAUGACUCCACCGUGUUUAGGGCAUGACUCCACCGUGUUUAAGGCAUGACUCCACCGUGUUUAAGGUAUGACUCCACCGUGUUUAAGGCUUGACUCCACUGUGUUUAAGGUUUGACUCCACCGUGAUUAAGGCAUGA